rnacentral:rRNA from 1 species
GACGAACGCUGGCGGCGUGCUUAACACAUGCAAGUCGAGCGGAAAGGCCCUGCUUUUGUGGGGUGCUCGAGUGGCGAACGGGUGAGUAACACGUGAGUAACCUGCCCUUGACUUUGGGAUAACUUCAGGAAACUGGGGCUAAUACCGGAUAGGAGCUCCUGCUGCAUGGUGGGGGUUGGAAAGUUUCGGCGGUUGGGGAUGGACUCGCGGCUUAUCAGCUUGUUGGUGGGGUAGUGGCUUACCAAGGCUUUGACGGGUAGCCGGCCUGAGAGGGUGACCGGCCACAUUGGGACUGAGAUACGGCCCAGACUCCUACGGGAGGCAGCAGUGGGGAAUAUUGCACAAUGGGCGGAAGCCUGAUGCGGCAAUGCCGCGUGCGGGAUGACGGCCUUCGGGUUGUAAACCGCUUUCGCCUGUGACGAAGCGUGAGUGACGGUAAUGGGUAAAGAAGCACCGGCUAACUACGUG